CAGAAAGUAUAUGCAUCAGAAAUGGCCAAUUUCUUUCAAAUGCUGUAUACUGGAAAAAUCCAAAGGACUCAUCAGAUGAACACAUUUCAAAGAGCCACUACCAAUUUUUUUUCUUAAGCAAAGCAUCAAGCCUCUGAUUUGCCGCUGAUAAAUUCUCUAAAUAAGCACUUGGAACAGAAAGGAGCUCUACCCAACUACCCGGAAUGCAGGCGGGCCUGGGACUAUGUGACUACCACCCUCUAAGUGAGGUUUUGAAAAUAAACACUUGAAAGUCUG
rnacentral:lncRNA from 1 species